rnacentral:rRNA from 1 species
CCUACGGGAGGCAGCAGUAGGGAAUUUUCCACAAUGGGCGAAAGCCUGAUGGAGCAAUCCUGCGUGAAUGAUGAAGGUCUUAUAUAGAUUGUAAAAUUCUUUUAUUGGAGACGAAUUACAAGAGGAGGAAAUGCCUUUUGUUUGACUGCAUCCAUUGAAUAAGUAUCGGCUAACUAUGUGCCAGCAGCCGCGGUAAUA